rnacentral:rRNA from 1 species
AACGGUCAUACCAUGCUGAAUAUACCGGUUCUCGUUAGAUCACCAAAGUCAAGCAGCAUUGGUUGCGGUCAGUACUUGGAUGGGUAACCACCUGGGAACACCGCGUGCCGUU